AUGCACGCUGGCGGCGUGCCUAAUACAUGCAAGUCGAGCGAACGGACGAGAAGCUUGCUUCUCUAAUGUUAGCGGCGGACGGGUGUGUAACACGUGGAUAACCUACCUAUAAGACUGGGAUAACUUCGGGAAACCGUAGCUAAUACCGGAUAAUAUUUUGAACCGCAUGGUUCAAAAGUGAAAGACGGUCUUGCUGUCACUUAUAGAUGGAUCCGCGCUGCAUUAGCUAGUUGGUAAGGUAACGGCUUACCAAGGCAACGAUGCAUAGCCGACCUGAGAGGGUGAUCGGCCACACUGGAACUGAGACACGGUCCAGACUCCUACGGGAGGCAGCAGUAGGGAAUCUUCCGCAAUGGGCGAAAGCCUGACGGAGCAACGCCGCGUGAGUGAUGAAGGUCUUCGGAUCGUAAAACUCUGUUAUUAGGGAAGAACAUAUGUGUAAGUAACUGUGCACAUCUUGACGGUACCUAAUCAGAAAGCCACGGCUAACUACGUG
rnacentral:rRNA from 1 species